AAGUCGUAACAAGGUUUCCGUAGGUGAACCUGCGGAAGGAUCAUUACCGAUUUUAGCGGACCUGAUCUUUGGUCAUGGUCUCGCGAAAAACUUGUAUUUAAAACCCCACUCUUAUAAAUUGAAUCAUUUUAUUAUAUGUAUAAUAAAUAAAGAUCACUUUCAACAACGGAUCUCUUGGCUCUC
rnacentral:misc_RNA from 1 species